CUCGCCUGACCCAGCCGGAUAUACCCCCGAUUUGAGUUUGCAGAAGGAGAAGCUCUAUCUCUUAAGUUACGAGCUAAGGCCAAGAUUUUGGAGAAAGGAUUGAGGGAGCGAGUUGGUUGGUCCAAGAAGGAGGAACGGGCGGUAGGUUUUCUCCUGGAUCGGAUUAUCCAUUUGAAGACUCUGACAAGCCUGCGCCCAAGCCUGAAACCUCUAAGCUUUUUCAUGGUGGUUUAAAAGAAGAGAAAUUUAGAGAUUAGUAUCAAGAAAACGGUGUUAGAGAAGAAUGAAGAGUGGGAUUACAGAGCACUCUCUCUA
rnacentral:misc_RNA from 1 species